rnacentral:lncRNA from 1 species
CAAGAUCCAAAGACCUGCAUUUUUGUGUUUCUCAGGAAAGGACCUAACAUUACCUAGCUUACAUUUCUGUCUUCAGUUUGAACUCAAGGCUAAAUAUAUUGCCAUUUUUAAUAAGGGGAAGUAUAUGAUCAAGUAUGCAAUUUUCCCGAGUAGAGGGGGGUCUUUUCUGAUGCAGAGGCAAAACAAGCUCCAUAGGUAACUGUUUACAGGGUGAAAGGAGGCCAUCCUUGUAGGAAGUGCUUAGCUCUUGGGAAGGUCUUAGAAUGUUGGCGUCCAUCAGGGUCUCCUCACAGGUGCCACAGGCCGGGGUGGGCCUCCCUGUGCUGAAGAUGGAGGAUUCCAGGAUUCCUUGCAGGCCUAGUGAUGGCAGGAAGUCCUAAUGCUGGGACUUUCUCUGUGCUUUCCUAAUUCACAGUGGCUCCUGGACUUGGGGGACAUAUAAGGCCAAGCAGGGAGGGGUUUGCAAAAUGUCAGCUUAAGAUGCCAUCUUUUCAUUGUGGAGUUCUGUGACUGGGUAUAACCCUUCCAAGUUAAUAUGAAAUCAUUUCUUUUCAUUUCCAGGCAUUAAAAGUGUUCUUCUUUUCUCUGAAGAUAUAAAGGUUCCAUGUGGGGCUAAAAUUCUAAUUGUGGGUGACUCACUUAAAAAAAACAAUCUGCAGCAUUCCUGCUGUGGCACAGUGGGUUAAGGGUCUGGCAGUGCCACAGCUGUGGCAUAUGUUGAUCCUGGGAACUCCCUAUACUGAAGGGCAACCAAAAAAGAAAAAAAAUCCCCCAUGUCACCCAUAAACUGGAGAUGGGAUGCUGGCAAAGGGGUGAAAUAAAUAAAAGGAUUCAUUUCACACAAACUGUGGGUGGCAGAUUGUGAAAUGUAGGCUAUAAAUGUAAUAUUACCUUUUCUUGAUAAAUAUCAUUCAGUUGACCACAUAGAGUAGUUGCUUCUGAGUUUGUUUCUUAUGCUGGAGUUUAAUUUUCUUAUAUUAAUUUCACAACACUCCAUUCAGACACUAGAUUUUGUCCUAACACUAAAACAUAAGGGACUCCGUAGAUGUGUAGCCACAAAAUUGUUUUAGGAAGAGUUGCCUGUGCCCAACCUGGGAUUUUCGUGAACUCCUGUACUCGUGAGCUCCACUUUGUGUCCAGGCUUAGGCUUUGCCAGUGGAAUUGAUGGAUACUUCUAUAUGAAACCCAUAGGCUGCAGAGGUGGCUGCAAGUGACCAUCCCCGCCCCUAACCCCCAGGGUGAUAAGGACUCAGCUAAUAGCAGGCACCCCUUUGGGAAAGCCCAGCAGCAAUUGGAAUAGAUUUCUCUGAUGAGGUCUUCUUAGUCUGAGAUGUGGCUGGUAGGCAGCAGGUGGCUCGGUGGGACAGGUGGGAAGGCAGGUAAAAGGCAGGAUUGCAGGUGUGUGAUGCCAUCAGGGACUGAAGGGCUGAAGGGCAUGUUGUUUGAAGGCCACGUGGAUGGGUGGAGUGGAUGGGGGCAAGAUCUGUGGUGAAGUGUUGUCCUUGGCUCCGGCCCAGACAGAUCCUUCCUUAAAGAAGCAGACACGCCCCACUGAGGCACGUGCAGGUCCAGCUUCAUGAGAGCCUAGUUCAAAUCCAGACUCACAGAGAAACCAUCAUGGUAGCCUGGGGGCCUGAGCAAAGGCAGAUUCAAGGCUGAGCAUCCACAGGCAAGAACAUGGAAUACCUUUGAGGGAGGUUUUGGAGACCUCUGGAAGCAGGAGCUUCUGAGUUGCCUCUUUUUUUAAAUUUAAAUUUUUAAAAAGACUUAUUCUGGGGAGUGGGGCGGAGAAGUUUUAGGUUCGCAGCAAAAUGGUGAGGAAGGUACAGAGAUUUCCCCUGUACUCCCUGCCCCUACACAUGUGUAGCCCCUCCCACUAUCAAUAUGCCCCAAGAGAAUGGGACCCUUGUUAGUCAGUGAACCCACAUCAACACGUCAUCACCACCCAAGGCCAGAGUUUACACUGGGGUUGAUGCUUGGUGUUGUUCAUCCCUGAUUUUAGACAUGUGCAAUGACAUGUUUCAACCAUUAGAGUAUCACACAAAGCAGUCCCACGGCCCUAACAGUUCUCUCUGUGCACCUGCUUCAUGAAGGAUGGGAUUUCAGCUUUUAUCUUCCUGACACUUUGCUAGGAAUGAUAUAGGGCUUCUUCUCACAUUGCUGAAUACAUCACACAUACCCACUAUAUCUAUGAAACCAAAUGACAUACUUUCAAAAGAAUGUGAAGUGCAUUAAAGGGGACCUCAUGAGAAAUAACAGCAAUUUAAAUGUAGUGAACUGACUGUUUAAGUGGGAAUUGGGGAUUGAGUCAGCAAUAAUCAAAAAAGAAUAUGAGAGAGAUUAAAACAAUCAAAUUAAAAAUGUAUAUUACGGGGGAGUUCCCAUUGUGGCUGAGCGGGUUAAGAACCUGAUUAGUGUCCCUGAGGAUGAGGGUUUGAUCCCUGGCCUCACUCAGUGGGUUGGUGCAAGCUGCGGUGUAGGUCGCAGAUGUGGCUCAGAUCCAGUGUUGCUGUGGCUGUGGCAUAGGCCAGCAGCUGCAGUUCUGAUUUGACCCCUAACCUGGAAACUUCCGUAUGCCUCAGACGCAGCUCUAAAAAGAAAAAAAAAA